rnacentral:rRNA from 1 species
AUUGAACGCUGGCGGCAUGCCUAACACAUGCAAGUCGAGCGGAUGAGGGGAGCUUUCUCCCUGAUUUAUCGGCGGACGGGUGAGUAAUUCCUAGGAAUCUGCCUGGUAGUGGGGGAUAACGUUCCGAAAGGAACGCUAAUACCGCAUACGUCCUACGGGAGAAAGCAGGGGACCGUCGAGGCUUGCGCUAUCAGGUGAGCCCAGGUCGGAUUAGCUAGUUGGUGAGGUAAUGGCUCACCAAGGCGACGAUCCGUAACUGGUCUGAGAGGAUGAUCAGUCACACUGGAACUGAGACACGGUCCAGACUCCUACGGGAGGCAGCAGUGGGGAAUAUUGGACAAUGGGCGAAAGCCUGAUCCAGCAAUGCCGCGUGUGUGAAGAAGGUCUUCGGAUUGUAAAGCACUUUAAGUUGGGAGGAAGGGCUGCUGGUUAACACCCUGCAGUUUUGACGUUACCAAAAGAAUAAGCACCGGCUAACUUCGUG